CUCAAUACCAUGCUUUUCACACAUUCACACACGCAUCAAUAAACAUCACACACACACACACACACACACACACACGCAUACACUCUUCCCCCAGUCACCGAGGCGGAAGGAGGGCUCCUAUCCCCCCUUCCACCUUCAUUAACUAUCCCUCCUUCCACUCUCAUUAACUAUCCCUCCUUCCACCUUCAUUAACUAUCCCUCCUUCCACCUUCAUUAACUAUCCCUCCUUCCACCUUCAUUAACUAUCCUGCCGUCCACCUUCAGUAACUCCCUUCUGACAAUCUAAGAUGAUCAAGCAAGUGGAUUCUGGAAUACAGUAUGGUUAUUAACUGACCGAUCGACCUCAUCCACCAUCAUGCACGACCUCCAAGCUAAAGACUCACGAACCUGACUUUACUGAAGAAUGGCUGAGGUCACCUGAAGAGGCAGGUGGAGAAGGCCCAGACCUUUGGCUCCUUACCAUCAAUACCUUCAUCACCGACAUUGAUGCAGAGUUGGACCUGGUCUGUGUACAGAUUUACAGUAACUGUUGGGGGCCGUGGAAGCGGUGCCAUGCUCACACUGGGCUGGAGGGGGUGCCGGAGCUGUGGCGCUGGGUCAGAGGCAGAGGCAAAGAGAGAGAAUUUACUCCGCCCAAAAUCAUUCCACGAAAUAAGACCACGAAGUGAGGAAUUUUAGUAUGGAGGUCAGCGAGUGUCGAAUUUGGUCAACAAUAAAUGUAAUUGCUAAUUUGUUACUUAAGGCUUAUUUGAUGGAAUAGACGUUUCAUAGUGGUUGUUACGAAUGCACUGAUAUAAGUGGACGGAUGUGGCAUUUCGACAUA